rnacentral:rRNA from 1 species
CCUACGGGAGGCAGCAGUGGGGAAUAUUGGGCAAUGGGGGAAACCCUGACCCAGCAACGCCGCGUGAGGGAAGAAGGUUUUCGGAUCGUAAACCUCUGUCCCAGGUGAAGAGAAAGAGACGGUAACCUGGGAGGAAGCCCCGGCUAACUACGUGCCAGCAGCCGCGGUAAU